UUUGAUGGCGACCGGCGCACGGGUGAGUAACACGUAUCCAACCUGCCGAUGACUCGGGGAUAGCCUUUCGAAAGAAAGAUUAAUACCCGAUGGCAUAGUUCUUCCGCAUGGUGGAACUAUUAAAGAAUUUCGGUCAUCGAUGGGGAUGCGUUCCAUUAGGUUGUUGGCGGGUAACGGCCCACCAAGCCUUCGAUGGAUAGGGGUUCUGAGAGGAAGGUCCCCCACAUUGGAACUGAGACACGGUCCAAACUCCUACGGGAGGCAGCAUG
rnacentral:rRNA from 1 species